rnacentral:rRNA from 1 species
CAGUCGCCACGGGAAUACGAAGGGUGCAAGCGUUACUCGGAAUUACUGGGCGUAAAGCGUGCGUAGGUGGUGGUUUAAGUCCGUUGUGAAAGCCCUGGGCUCAACCUGGGAAUUGCAGUGGUUACUGGGUCACUAGAGUGUGGUAGAGGAUAGUGGAAUUUCCGGUGUAGCAGUGAAAUGCGUAGAGAUCGGAAGGAACAUCUGUGGCGAAGGCGACUAUCUGGGCCAACACUGACACUGAGGCACGAAAGCGUGGGGAGCAAACAGGAUUAGAUACCCCCGUAGUCCCUGUCUCUUAUAC